CCUAUGGGCAAACAGAUGAUGAACAGAAUUAAAAUUGAGAUCUCCUGAGUCUCAGACCAGAUUCUUAUAAUCACUGUUUUGCUGCUGCUACCAUCUGUAAUGCCUGAAAAGCCACUUCCAGUGGGGAAAGCAUUACAACAAAAGAAGGAAGAAGAAAACCCCAUCUGGGCAUAAUGAGCCGUAAAGCAGCCCUGGAGCUCUGGGUUUCUGUGGUGUGCCAUGAAGAGCAGGAGGGACAGCGGCUGCACUAAGAAAGCCUCCCCCAGCUACAGCCUUCUUCCUCCUUAUCAACAGCAGCAGUGAAACUAGAAAACCUGGCUCUGUGGUGUUGGCCCAUAGGAUCCAUUUUGCUGUCUCCUACAGCUGCCCACUCUAGGCAACUGCCUUCUUUCCUCGCACUGACUGCAGAAAUAUCAUCAACCCUUUGAAUCAGAAUUGAACCUACUAUUGCAACGCUGGUUCUGAUGUUUGUCAUAAAGGCAGCUGCCCUAAACUGAGAGCAGUGCUUCUUGCGUGUGCCAACCAGCAGACACUAACCUCAUGUCAAGCAAAAAUGUCAUUCAUACCAAAACAGUAUUUUAAAAUAUGUGGAAACAACUUUCUUGCUAUAGCCUUUAUCAUUUAUGACAGGAAGAUCUUUAAUAUAUGGGUAAAUUUCAAUUUGGAGAAAUCAAUAGUCUUAAAUAAUAACUAAGAUUUCAGGUCUUUCCAUCUCAAUGCAAAAUAACCUACCAUUAACUUUACAAAUGAGAAUCAAGUUAAAAGGCUUCUAGCAAAUUACCAGUGAAUCACCAGAAUUUGCUUCAGGCAGAGAUAUUAGUCCUAAAUUGUUGCCAGUGAUAUAUAGCUUCAGCAUUUUUUAUUGCUAAUUUGCAGUGGUUUCUCAUACUCUUUUUCUAAUGGAUCACUACAUGAGCCAGGUAAUUUGUACUGCUGCCAAUAACUGUCUCAAGGUAAAGCUGUUUAGGUAGACCAAGAAGAAUGCACACCAAGAGGGAGCCUUCUAAAAUAAUUCCAAAUUAAAGCAUUGUUACAAAAAAAAAAAAAAAAAAAAAAAAAAAAGGAAUCAACAGGAUAGAAAGCUAUGUACUGACGUAUCUAGUUCCAAAAAUCAAGGCCUUCACAAAUAAAAUACUAUCUUAGUAAUAUACUGUUAUGCACUGGCUUUCCUGCUUUUUAAAAAUUCUGUUCAUUUUCUUGUAUGCUAUAAAAUACAUGCUGGAUCAGAGUGUACUCGGAAGCAUUACAAACAGCCACACAGGCAUCCAGAACUAAAUUGUAAAACUACGGGAAAUAAAAUAUGAAGAAUUUACAUA